AACGUAGGACGCAAGCGUUAUCCGGAGUUACUGGGCGUAAAGCGCGAGCAGGCGGCUCGACAAGUUCGAUGUGAAAGCGCCCGGCUCAACCGGGCGAGGCCAUUGGAAACUAUCGAGCUGGAGGGCGGUAGAGGCAGGCGGAAUUCCGGGUGGAGUGGUGAAAUGCGUAGAGAUCCGGAGGAACACCAGAGGCGAAGGCGGCCUGCUGGGCUGCACCUGACGCUGAGACGCGAAAGCCAGGGGAGCGAACGGG
rnacentral:rRNA from 1 species